rnacentral:rRNA from 1 species
AGUGAACGCUGGCGGUAGGCCUAACACAUGCAAGUCGAACGGCAGCACAGUAAGAGCUUGCUCUUACGGGUGGCGAGUGGCGGACGGGUGAGGAAUACAUCGGAAUCUACUUUUUCGUGGGGGAUAACGUAGGGAAACUUACGCUAAUACCGCAUACGACCUACGGGUGAAAGCAGGGGAUCUUCGGACCUUGCGCGAUUGAAUGAGCCGAUGUCGGAUUAGCUAGUUGGCGGGGUAAGGGCCCACCAAGGCGACGAUCCGUAGCUGGUCUGAGAGGAUGAUCAGCCACACUGGAACUGAGACACGGUCCAGACUCCUACGGGAGGCAGCAGUGGGGAAUAUUGGACAAUGGGCGCAAGCCUGAUCCAGCCAUACCGCGUGGGUGAAGAAGGCCUUCGGGUUGUAAAGCCCUUUUGUUGGAAAAGAAAAGCAGCAGGUUAAUACCCCGCUGUUCUGACGGUACCCAAAGAAUAAGCACCGGCUAACUUCGUG